ensembl:snRNA U5 U5 spliceosomal RNA
AUAUUCUGCUUCUCUUCCUAUCAUAUAAAUCUUUCACCUUUUACUAAAAAUUUCUGUGGAGAAGAAUAAUUCUGAGUUCAAGAAGGAGAUGAUAUAUGUAUAAUU